GUUAAAUAUGAUCUAGGGUAUAUGAAGUUCUUAGGAAUAAAAUUUUAAUUUUUUUCGAUAUCGUUUACUUAGUAAAUAAAUUAUGUCAAAAUAGACGGUAAAAAUUGAAUAAUCUUUAAAAUUUGAGCAUAGGACUUUUAAAUUCAAGAUCAAGAAUGUUAAUCUUAAUCUAGAUAGUUUAAAGUAUUUUCUAUCAAAAUUUGAAGAAAUUUAGAUUCUUUUGCACCGUUAAACUCCAAACUCGCCAUAAUAGUUAUUGAAAAUUGACAAUUUUGAAAUUGUUUGAUUGUAAAAUAAACUAUGUCGAAAAAUAUAAAAUUUUAUUUCUAAAAACUUUAAAUACCCUAGAUCAGUUUUAAUGAUGUGGAUCGUUGAUUUUGAACACCCUAAGAUCGAAAACGAGACUAUAGUACCGGAGACCCGGUACUAUAGAUAGUAUAUGAGACUAGCUCAAAAUAUAAUAAUUAAUUGUUGUUAGUGUUGUAAAUGAGCCGAAUACGAGUGAGAUGUGGCUAGCUCGAGAUCGGCUCAAAAAUAGUUCAAACCAGCUCGUAUUCGGCUCGAAAUUCAAACAUCCUGGAAAACCCAA
rnacentral:lncRNA from 1 species